UAGGGAAUCUUCGGCAAUGGGGGGAACCCUGACCGAGCAACGCCGCGUGAGUGAAGAAGGUUUUCGGAUCGUAAAGCUCUGUUGUUAAGGAAGAACGAGUGUGAGAAUGGAAAGUUCAUACUGUGACGGUACUUAACCAGAAAGGGACGGCUAACUACGUGCCAGCAGCCGCGGUAAUACGUAGGUCCCGAGCGUUGUCCGGAUUUAUUGGGCGUAAAGCGAGCGCAGGCGGUUAGAAAAGUCUGAAGUGAAAGGCAGUGGCUCAACCAUUGUAGGCUUUGGAAACUGUUUAACUUGAGUGCAGAAGGGGAGAGUGGAAUUCCAUGUGUAGCGGUGAAAUGCGUAGAUAUAUGGAGGAACACCGGUGGCGAAAGCGGCUCUCUGGUCUGUAACUGACGCUGAGGCUCGAAAGCGUGGGGAGCGAACAGG
rnacentral:rRNA from 5 species